rnacentral:rRNA from 1 species
CAAUAGCGUAUAUUUAAGUUGUUGCAGUUAAAAAGCUCGUAGUUGGAUUUCGGGUGGGACGCAGCGGUCUCGCAUUGCGUUUGUACUGCUGCAGCCCUCCUUCUUGCCGGGGGCGGCCUCUCGGACUUCACUGUCUGGGGGUCAGAAUCGGCGAUGUUACUUUGAGUAAAUUAGAGUGUUCAAAGCAAGCUUACGCUCUGAAUAUAAUAGCAUGGGAUAACACGAAAGGACUCUGGCCUAUCGUGUUGGUCUAUAGGACCAGAGUAAUGAUUAAGAGGGACAGUCGGGGGCAUUCGUAUUCCGUUGUCAGAGGUGAAAUUCUUGGAUUUACGGAAGACGAACAUCUGCGAAAGCAUUUGCCAAGGAUGUUUUCAUUGA